GUUGUAUGGUUAAGUGACUAAGCGUACACGGUGGAUGCCUUGGCAGUCAGAGGCGAUGAAGGACGUAGUAACUUGCGAUAAGCGUAGAUGAGGCAGUAACAGCCACUUGAGUCUACGAUUUCCGAAUGGGGAAACCCACUGGCAUAAGCCAGUAUCAUUGAGUGAAUACAUAGCUCAAUGAAGCGAACCGGGAGAACUGAAACAUCUAAGUACCCCGAGGAAAAGAAAUCAACCGAGAUUCCGAAAGUAGCGGCGAGCGAAAUUGGAUUAGCCCUUAAGCUUUACAUGUGUUAGACGAACGGUCUGGAAAGUCCGACGAUACAGGGUGAUAGUCCCGUAGUUGACGAUGCAUGUUCAGUGAAAUCGAGUAGGGCGGGACACGUGUUAUCCUGUCUGAAUAUGGGGGGACCAUCCUCCAAGGCUAAAUACUCCUGACUGACCGAUAGUGAACCAGUACCGUGAGGGAAAGGCGAAAAGAACCCCUGUGAGGGGAGUGAAAUAGAACCUGAAACCGUGUACGUACAAGCAGUAGGAGCACCUUCGUGGUGUGACUGCGUACCUUUUGUAUAAUGGGUCAGCGACUUAUAUUCAGUGGCAAGGUUAACCAUCUAGGGGAGCCGUAGGGAAACCGAGUCUUAACUGGGCGCCAUAGUCUCUGGAUAUAGACCCGAAACCGAGUGAUCUAGCCAUGGGCAGGUUGAAGGUUGAGUAACAUCAACUGGAGGACCGAACCGACUAAUGUUGAAAAAUUAGCGGAUGACUUGUGGCUAGGGGUGAAAGGCCAAUCAAACUCGGAGAUAGCUGGUUCUCCCCGAAAGCUAUUUAGGUAGCGCCUCGGACGAAUACUACUGGGGGUAGAGCACUGUUAAGGCUAGGGGGUCAUCCCGACUUACCAACCCUUUGCAAACUCCGAAUACCAGUAAGUACUAUCCGGGAGACACACGGCGGGUGCUAACGUCCGUCGUGGAGAGGGAAACAACCCAGACCGCCAGCUAAGGUCCCAAAUUACAGCUAAGUGGGAAACGAUGUGGGAAGGCUUAGACAGCUAGGAUGUUGGCUUAGAAGCAGCCAUCAUUUAAAGAAAGCGUAAUAGCUCACUAGUCGAGUCGGCCUGCGCGGAAGAUGUAACGGGGCUAAGUUGUAAACCGAAGCUGCGGCAAUGUUCUAUGAACAUUGGGUAGGGGAGCGUUCUGUAAGCCGUUGAAGGUGUGUUGUAAAGCAUGCUGGAGGUAUCAGAAGUGCGAAUGCUGACAUGAGUAACGACAAGGGGGGUGAAAAACCUCCCCGCCGGAAGACCAAGGGUUCCUGUCCAACGUUAAUCGGGGCAGGGUAAGUCGACCCCUAAGGCGAGGCUGAAAAGCGUAGUCGAUGGGAAACGGGUUAAUAUUCCCGUACUUCUUACAAUUGCGAUGGGGGGACGGAGAAGGCUAGGUGGGCCUGGCGACGGUUGUCCAGGUUCA
rnacentral:rRNA from 1 species